GACGAACGCUGGCGGCGUGCUGAACACAUGCAAGUCGAACGGAAAGGCCCUGCUUUUGUGGGGUGCUCGAGUGGCGAACGGGUGAGUAACACGUGAGUAACCUGCCCUUGACUUUGGGAUAACUUCAGGAAACUGGGGCUAAUACCGGAUAGGAGCUCCUGCUGCAUGGUGGGGGUUGGAAAGUUUCGGCGGUUGGGGAUGGACUCGCGGCUUAUCAGCUUGUUGGUGGGGUAGUGGCUUACCAAGGCUUUGACGGGUAGCCGGACUGAGAGGGUGACCGGCCACAUUGGGACUGAGAUCCGGCCCAGACUCCUACGGGAGGCAGUAGUGGGGAAUAUUGCACACUGGGCGGAAGCCUGAUGCAGCAACGCCGCGUGCGGGAUGACGGCCUUCGGGUUGUAACCCGCUUUCGCCUGUGACGAAGCGUGAGUGACGGUAAUGGGUAAAGAAGCACCGGCUAACUCCGUG
rnacentral:rRNA from 1 species